UUGGAGCGUUGGACGGUACUCAUGUAGAAGCCGUGUUGCCUGCCCGUGAUGUCGGCACAUACUACGGUCGCAAAGGAUAUCCAACACAAAACAUACUAGCAGUAUGCGACUUUGACAUGUGCUUCAUUUUCAUAUCUUGUGGUUGAGAAGGAAGCAUGCAUGACAGUCGCAUCUUCAAUGAAAUAACUGAGAACGCACAUGCACCGUUCCCGCACCCCCAAGAAGGUAAAUAUUACCUUGUGGAUGCGGGAUAUGCAAACAAGAAAGGGUAUUUGGCACCAUACAAAAAAUCCCAGUAUCACCAGGCACAGUUCUGGGAUCAUGGACGGCCCGAUAACCCAAGAGAAUUGUUCAACGAGGCGCACGCAUCAUUGAGGAGCGUGGUGGAAAGAACAUUUGGAGCGUGGAAAUCGCGCUGGAAGUUCCUGCACAACAUGCCCGACUAUGAUUUUGCGACGGUGUAGGUACCAUUGGUUGGUGAGUCAAUGGCCUUAUACAAUUUCAUCCGUAGGCACGAGAUAGCUGCUAAUGCACACAACGAACAUGUCAGAUGUUGCUCUGUUCCGGAUGACAUGCCCACCGCGGAAGGAGGAGAAAAUAUGGAUGAUGGCCUCAUGAUGGGGGAUACGGAUGUAGAUAUGGCCAGAGUUCGCGUGCGCAUCCGUGACCAUUUGUUUCAUAUACAGAAAGGACUAUUGUGAAAUGCUUGUUAUCCAAUGUAUGUGUUUGUGUAAUUUGUAUUUCUGCAUUGCAAUGUGACUGUAACAAAUUACUUAUAUUUGUAAUUCGUGUACGAACAAUGUAAGUGUGUUGCAAAUUUAAAUUUAGUUGAAGUACUAUUAAUU